GAAUAAGUUAUAAAACAAAGACAGAAAUCUUUCUGUUACACAAAAAAAUUAAUUUAAAAAAAACCAUAAGUUUUUUUGCCUAGGUUAACUGUGCCAUUUUUUUUUACAAAUUAUCGACUUCCUGUUGUUGAAUAAAGACACCCAUAAGAGCCCAUGUAUUUUCACGAAAGUUUAAUUAAUUAUAUUUCUUAAACGGUUUGACUACCAAAUUACCUGAAACUUUUUUUUUAUGUGGUCAUCAACUUUCUGAGAACUGGACAGUCGCAGUUGUUAAGUCAGUGAAUCGUUGAUCAUUCAUUUACUGACACCUGGUAUUCAAAAUUCAAACUAUAGGCAGCAGGACUCCCGUAAUCAAAUGCUAUGAGGAAUACAAGAAGCCACCCUAACAGCAAAGUUUGCUUUAGCAAAAGUUUCCUUGAAUUUUUCCUCAAAUUUCCGCCAACUUCGGACUUUUCCAUUUUUUAUGACAAUUUGUAUGCAGCUUGCUAUUGAAUUUGACGUAAAUUUACUGUCCGACUACGAAUGCAAAUUCA